AGCUCGAUGAUUACAGCCAAUUAUUUUUGGCAAUAUACGCUAUUCUGAGAAAUUAAAUGGCUGACACUGGAAUACAUGAGAGCU